GACAGAGUAGAUAGAGAGCGUUAAGUGUUAAGGGAUGGGAAGUAGCCCUUAAACGAAAGAUAUUUUCUGCGGUUCUCUAUUGCGUCCGCUGUC
rfam:Sporanaerobacter acetigenes DSM 13106 genome assembly, contig: EJ96DRAFT_scaffold00002.2